rnacentral:rRNA from 1 species
AAUAGAUACCCAGGUAGUCCACGCCGUAAACGAUGAGUGCUAAGUGUUAGAGGGUUUCCGCCCUUUAGUGCUGAAGUUAACGCAUUAAGCACUCCGCCUGGGGAGUACGGCCGCAAGGCUGAAACUCAAAGGAAUUGACGGGGGCCCGCACAAGCGGUGGAGCAUGUGGUUUAAUUCGAAGCAACGCGAAGAACCUUACCAGGUCUUGACAUCCUCUGAAAACCCUAGAGAUAGGGCUUCUCCUUCGGGAGCAGAGUGACAGGUGGUGCAUGGUUGUCGUCAGCUCGUGUCGCGAGAUGUUGGGUUAAGUCCCGCAACGAGCGCAACUCUUGAUCUUAGUUGCCAUCAUUAAGUUGGGCACUCUAAGGUGACUGCCGGUGACAAACCGGAGGAAGGUGGGGAUGACGUCAAAUCAUCAUGCCCCUUAUGACCUGGGCUACACACGUGCUACAAUGGACGGUACAAAGAGCUGCAAGAUCGCGAGGUGGAGCUAAUCUCAUAAAACCCGUUCUCAGUUCGGA